rnacentral:lncRNA from 1 species
AACGUGGGCGUGGAUUUCGGAAGAAAGAUGCUGAAGAUCCCUGCCUGGACGGACACGCACACAAAAGCAUCCACUAUCCAGCACCACCAGCACCACCCUGAAGAAGGGAAGAGAAAGAAAGAAAAACCAACUCCAGGGUGCAGGCCGGCCUGCUUCCGGCAGUCUAAAAGCAGACUGACCGCCAUUCUCUCCUUCCCCACCCCCCUAGCCCCGGUGCCCAGCGCGACGCCAAGCUCAACCUGGAUCUGUUCUGAAUGGGGGGAAAGUGAAAUGCCACAAGAUCAGUAGCAAGUAGCAGCUGCAGCGUUUCUCUCCUGGGAACCCCACUGCUUAGAAGCCUCCCGAGUGAUGUUUGUUUAACCAACGGCUUUCAAAGUAAACAGAGGCGAAGCGCUCCAAAGAAGUUGAAAUAUAACCCUUACAAGAAUUUGGGGCCAGGGUGCUGGCGGAAAAAGUAAAAAAAAAAAAAAAAAAUUUUUUUUGUUUUAAAUAAUAAAGCUUCCAUCCCAAAUAAGAGCCCACCACAGUGCCUAAAGGAAACUAGAAGGGUCAUAAAAAUAUAAAUUUAUCGAAAGGAUUCAUUGCAGUAAAGUGACCUCAAAAUCAUCCUUCGUCCACAAACACACACCUGCGGGGAGCGGGGUUGGUUGUCAGUGACUUGAAGGGGCACACUACUACUCGACUUUAGGGAAGUGGGCGAAAACAAUCGAAGGGAGGUGCUUUCCCAGCCCUGCAGUAGAAAGGAGCAGGCAGGGCGCUCUGCGCCAGCCCUGGCUUUGCCUCAGGCACCGAACUUUCCAAUAUCAAGAUAUUAACAGAUGGUGGUGAGCACAUGGAGGGCUGUUACUUACAUAAUCCAGCCACUCCGCCCAGCCGCGCUGAAGCCGGCGAGGCGCCCGCCAGGCCGCGCGCGCGCCUUGCGAGGGGUGCUGCUGUCCCCCGAAAUAACGUGCUUUCCCCUCCAACCCCCACCUGGUUCUUUGGGGGCCAGGGUUUGGAGAGGUCGUGCUUUCAGAAAAACAUUCGCAUCGAUCGGGGCAUGCUUUACCUUCUUCAGUCCACAGUAAAGAAGCUGGAGACCCAAGGGCAGAGGGAAGCGGAGGGAACGCUUUCGGGGAGAACCGGACGCCGUCCCUCGAUGGCAAACCUUUCCUACAGAAGCUGCCCAUCAGACCAGUGA